GGCGGACGGGUGAGUAACACGUAAGAAUUUGCCUUUAGGAGGGGGACAACAACUGGAAACGGUUGCUAAUACCCCAUAUGCUUUCGAGUGAAACGGUUUUUCCGCCUAAAGAGAAGCUUGCGGCUGAUUAGCUUGUUGGUGAGGUAAUGGCUCACCAAGGCGACGAUCAGUAUCUGGUUUGAGAGGACGAUCAGACACACUGGAACUGAGACACGGUCCAGACUCCUACGGGAGGCAGCAGUGGGGAAUUUUCCGCAAUGGGCGAAAGCCUGACGGAGCAAUACCGCGUGAGGGAUGACGGCCUAUGGGUUGUAAACCUCUUUUCUCAGGGAGGAAUCAAUGACGUGUACCUGAGGAAUAAGCAUCGGCUAACUCCGUGCCAGCAGCCGCGGUAAGACGGAGGAUGCAAGUGUUAUCCGGAAUCACUGGGCGUAAAGCGUCUGUAGGUGGUCAAAUAAGUCAACUGUUAAAUCUUGAGGCUUAACCUCAAAAUCGCAGUCGAAACUAUUAGACUAGAGUAUAGUAGGGGUAAAGGGAAUUUC
rnacentral:rRNA from 1 species